UGUCUUGGUCACCCGAUGAGCCUCGGUC
rnacentral:sRNA from 1 species